rnacentral:rRNA from 1 species
UACGAAGGGUGCAAACGUUGCUCGGAAUUAUUGGGCGUAAAGCGCACGUAGGCGGCUUUUGUAAGUUGGAUGUGAAAGCCCUCGGCUCAACCAAGGAAGUGCAUCCAAAACUACAAAGCUUGAGUACUUAAGAGGAUCGCGGAAUUCCCGGUGUAGAGGUGAAAUUCGUAGAUAUCGGGAGGAACACCAGUGGCGAAGGCGGC